UACGAAGGGUGCAAACGUUGCUCGGAAUUAUUGGGCGUAAAGCGCACGUAGGCGGCUUAGCAAGUCGGAUGUGAAAGCCCUCGGCUCAACCAAGGAAGUGCAUCCGAAACUGCUGAGCUUGAGUACUUAAGAGGAUCGCGGAAUUCCCGGUGUAGAGGUGAAAUUCGUAGAUAUCGGGAGGAACACCAGUGGCGAAGGCGGCGAUCUGGGAAGAUACUGACGCUGGAGGUGCGA
rnacentral:rRNA from 1 species